rnacentral:rRNA from 1 species
AUUGAACGCUGGCGGCAUGCUUUACACAUGCAAGUCGAACGGCAGCGCGGGCUUCGGCCUGGCGGCGAGUGGCGAACGGGUGAGUAAUACAUCGGAACGUGCCCAGUAGUUGGGGAUAGCUCGGCGAAAGCCGGAUUAAUACCGCAUACGACCUUAGGGUGAAAGCGGGGGAUCUUCGGACCUCGCGCUAUUGGAGCGUCCGAUGGCAGAUUAGCUAGUUGGUUGGGUAAAGGCCUACCAAGGCGACGAUCUGUAGCUGGUCUGAGAGGACGACCAGCCACACUGGGACUGAGACACGGCCCAGACUCCUACGGGAGGCAGCAGUGGGGAAUUUUGGACAAUGGGCGAAAGCCUGAUCCAGCAAUGCCGCGUGUGUGAUGAAGGCCUUCGGGUUGUAAAGCGCUUUUGGCGGGAACGAAAAGGACUGUGCCAAUACCACGGUUCGAUGACGGUACCCGAAGAAUAAGCACCGGCUAACUACGUG